UGCCUCAAGAGACGGUCACGGUUGUCUUCUUCUGUGUGGAUGAGCAACUGCUUUGACGUUAUCGGAAAAGGUGUAGAGUGCGGUAGAAGCUAGAAUGCCUACGAAAAAGAGAAGGAUUCAGGAGAGAGAACCAGAUAAAUGAGGCAGCAAAGGGGAGCACAUCUUUGCAGAGUUGGUUACAAAGAAGCAAACCAGCAGAUGAGGAGCAACCACAAGCCUCCAGACCAGAGGAAAAUGUGGACCACGAGACACAUAGGACAGGUAGGCCUAAGUGCUGAUAACUACAACAAAUAACAAAUAUGAGAUGGAAGGACCUUGCUAGAAAGUACAGGGAUAAAGAGCCACAUGCUUAAUAAUU